GACGAACGCUGGCGGCGUGCUUAACACAUGCAAGUCGAACGGAAAGGCCCUGCUUUUGUGGGGUGCUCGAGUGGCGAACGGGUGAGUAACACGUGAGUAACCUGCCCUUGACUUUGGGAUAACUUCAGGAAACUGGGGCUAAUACCGGAUAGGAGCUCCUGCUGCAUGGUGGGGGUUGGAAAGUUUCGGCGGUUGGGGAUGGACUCGCGGCUUAUCAGCUUGUUGGUGGGGUAGUGGCUUACCAAGGCUUUGACGGGUAGCCGGCCUGAGAGGGUGACCGGCCACAUUGGGACUGAGAUACGGCCCAGACUCCUACGGGAGGCAGCAGUGGGGAAUAUUGCACAAUGGGCGGAAGCCUGAUGCAGCAACGCCGCGUGCGGGAUGACGGCCUUCGGGUUGUAAACCGAUUUCGCCGGUGACGAAGAGUGAGUGACGGUAAUGGGUAAAGAAGCACCGGCUAACUACGUG
rnacentral:rRNA from 1 species